rnacentral:rRNA from 1 species
UCGCCUGUUUAUCAAAAACAUAGCCUCUGGCAUUAACAGUAUCAGAGGUAACGCCUGCCCAGUGAUCUUAUUCAACGGCCGCGGUAUCCUAACCGUGCAAAGGUAGCGUAAUCACUUGUUCCCUAAAUAGUGACUAGUAUGAAUGGCCACACGAGAAUAGACCUGUCUCUUUUAACUGAUCAGUGAAAUUGAUCUCCCAGUACAAAAGCUGGGAUAUCAACAUAAGACGAAAAGACCCUGUGGAGCUUAAAUACCACCCUACCCCCUUUAGCCCAAGUAUUUUAGUUGGGGCAACUUCGGAAUUAAACCAAACUUCCGAGCACAUUCCGGAUACACCGUUAUCAAGACCUACAUGUCAAAACCAGAAUUUGACCCAGUACUUACUGACCAACGAACCAAGUUACCCCAGGGAUAACAGCGCCAUCUUCUUCUAGAGCCCCCAUCGACAAGAAGGUUUACGACCUCGAUGUUGGAUCAGGACACCCAAACAGCGCAGCCGCUAUUAAAGGUUCGUUUGUUCAACGAUUAAAGCCCUACGUGAUCUGAGUUCAGACCGGA